CUCUUAAACUAUAAAUACGCAAUCAAAAUAUCAUACAGUAAGUAGGUUUGAAGGUGGCAUUGUUGUACAAAGAGGUGUUUUAGCCUCAUUGUCUAAUCCUGUUGUCUAGGGUUACAAAAAGGUGUUAACCGUGACGCUGAAAGCCCAGGGUACUUCCUCUCAGAGCACAGAGCAAUUUCACUCAAUCUCACUCCUGUUAUCCAAGUGCAGUGCUAUGCUUCAGGUAAAGAUGAUUCGCCUAAUAGUAUUGAUUGGACUCUCCAGUCACUGUACAGGUAUUGGACCAGCAGCUCGACCAGACAACGGCGUUGUUGCCUUCACUGCGAUGCCUCCUACAGAAACAGGUAGCCCAACAAUUGUAACGUUGAGAAUUGUUGUGGAAUCCCUAGAAGACAUGAAUGAAUCUACUGCACAAGCCACUUUAGAUGAGGUAAGAUUAACAGCUGGAGCCCUGCUAAAUUGUACCCACUUUUGGACAUAAAUACUUAAUAAUAUGCCCCAAGGCACUAG